AGACAAAAAAUGCCGAAUCUCAGAGCAUCGAAAGCUCUGGUACGGGGGACUUCUUUACUUGGGGUGAAUGAUGCUCAGUUAGCCAUAGGCUAAUGGGGCGUACUAGGGAAAACCUCUUCCCGAACCCGUCAACUAACCUCGGAGGCUUCAAGGAGGCACAAC
rnacentral:sRNA from 2 species